UUCAGACAGAACACAGACGUACAUAAAAAACAUAAAGUAACUUACGGGUAAGCGAACACUGCGCCAUAGGUUUAGACAGAGUGCAUACAUACAUAUACAGUAGAAUACAGAUUUUUGCAUAUCAUGAAAAAGCAAAAGACAUCAAGAUCUAACUAAAUGAAAAAAGCAUAGACGUGAUAAGGGCGCAGCUUUAGUUUGAAAAGUUAAAAGUUUGUAUACAGAAAAAUCACGAAUAUGAUAUCUAACUGGCAGUUGGAUUUCUUUUUUUUUUUUGAAUGUUGUUGAAAUGGAUGCGAAAAAUAAACAGGUUGACAAACGUGUAGAGAUUUUAGAAGUAGCAAAAGUAAUUUUUAUGAAUUUUUGUGGGAAGCAGUUGUGGCAAAUAAUUGUAUUGUAGUUCAUUAUAACAAAUGCACCAAGUUGUAUUAUCAGUUUGGUUGUUAUACAUGCUGUUUAACAUGUCUAUUCUUUAAAAGAACAGUUAAGUAUUGCACAUAGCAACCAAAAAAAAGUAGAAGAAGAGAAUGAAGACAUGAAUAAACAGCUUCUUGAAUUAGUCAUAAAAAAAGAUAAACUGCAAGCUGAUUUCAGCCAGGUGGAAAUUUUAAAUUCAAUUAUUGUGGAAUUGCAGCAAAAAAACUAUGAUCUAGAUGAAAAAAUCAAAAUAUUGACAUAUGGUGAUUAUAUGAUUUAUGAUAGUGAUGAUGUGAUUUAUAUUGGCUAUAAUGAUCGUAUUUGGUCAUACUGAAGAAAACUGUGAUGACGAGCAGACGUUUUAGUGAGUUCAAUGAUGGCCUUAGUGUUAAUUUCAGUGUUUUCUCGUUUCGUCUUAUUCACUGACAAACGCAUUUAUUUUUAAAAUGCUAAUAAACUCUCGAAAAAAAAUGAUUGGCCAUUUACCGUUUCAUCAUCAAAAGAAAUGAAUUUGUAAAAAUGUGAAUGGUUACUAAAGAAAAUUUUUAUAUAUAUAUAUACGUUUUUGUAUUAUUUUAUACAUUACAUUCAUUUCA